rnacentral:tRNA from 1 species
UAGACUUUAAGUUAUGUAAACUAUAAGCCUUCCAAGCUUAAAAUAAGACCCCUUAAGUCUAA